AGCGCCUACGGGAGGCAGCAGUGGGGAAUAUUGCACAAUGGGCGAAAGCCUGAUGCAGCAACGCCGCGUGAAGGAAGACGGUUUUCGGAUUGUAAACUUCUAUCAAUAGGGAAGAAAGAAAUGACGGUACCUAAAUAAGAAGCCCCGGCUAACUACGUGCCAGCAGCCGCGGUAAUACGUAGGGGGCAGGCGUUAUCCGGAAUUACUGGGUGUAAAGGGAGCGUAGACGGUGAUGCAAGUCUGGAGUGAAAGGCGUGGGCCCCAC
rnacentral:rRNA from 1 species